AACGAACGCUGGCGGCAUGCCUAACACAUGCAAGUCGAACGAAGCCUUCGGGCUUAGUGGCGCACGGGUGCGUAACGCGUGGGAAUCUGCCCUUGGGUUCGGAAUAACAGUUAGAAAUGACUGCUAAUACCGAAUGAUGUCUUCGGACCAAAGAUUUAUCGCCCAAGGAUGAGCCCGCGUCGGAUUAGCUAGUUGGUGAGGUAAAGGCUCACCAAGGCGACGAUCCGUAGCUGGUCUGAGAGGAUGAUCAGCCACACUGGGACUGCGACACGGCCCAGACUCCUACGGGAGGCAGCAGUGGGGAAUAUUGGACAAUGGGCGAAAGCCUGAUCCAGCAAUGCCGCGUGAGUGAUGAAGGCCUUAGGGUUGUAAAGCUCUUUUACCCGGGAUGAUAAUGACAGUACCGGGAGAAUAAGCCCCGGCUAACUCCGUGCCAGCAGCCGCGGUAAU
rnacentral:rRNA from 1 species